CAGUGUCCUGUGGUGCAACCUCCCAGCCACACUGUCCCCGUGGCCCAUCCUCCCAGCCACACAGUGUCCUGUGGUCCUUCCUCCUCUCCCACCCUAUGUCAUGCGCAGAGAUAAAAUGCAGCUGCCAAACCACCCUGCAAGGUGUGCGUCCACCAAGACCCACUCUCCCAGCGCUGGGCACCCACUUCGCACUGCAGUGAGCAUCGGGGACCUGUGUGAGAAUGUCUGGGGCGAGAUGUUGUUAGGAGAGGAACUGCUGCAUCUCAGUCCUGCACUUCCUUCAUCUUACUAACACACCUAGAGACCCUUCCCAAGGGCCACCCAGCCCACCCUCCCAGCAGAGUGAGGGAGGUCUCCUGUAUUACAUCAUGUAACUGUGACAUCACCGAGCUUUCAGACUUCUGCCAGCCUAAAUGUGUAAAGUGAACCUUCAUUGUGAUUUUAAUUUGAUUUCUCACAUUACCAGUGCUUUUGAGUGUCUUCUCUUCUGCUUGUUAAUGUCUUGGAUAUCCUCUUCUGUAAAUUCAUACCCUUUGCUCUGUUUUCUUUUCAUUUUUUUGAGAUGGAGUCUCGCUCUGUCGUCCAGGCUGGAGUUCAGCGGCACAAUCUCGGCUUACUGCAACCUCCACUUCCCAGGUUCAAGCGAUUUUCCUGCCUCAGCCUCCCGAGUAGCUAGGACAACAGGCACAAGCCACCAUGCCUGGCCAAUUUUUGUGUUUUUAGUAGAGAUGGUAUUUCACCAUGUUGGCCAGGCUGGUCUUGAACUCCUGACCUCAGGCGAUUCAUCCGCUUUGGCCUCCCAAAGUGCUGGGAUUACAGGCAUGAGCCACUGCGUCCAGCCCCUUUGCUCUGUUUUCUGUAGAACUGCUGUAUUUUCUUAUUAAGCUACACCUUUUUGAAAUGGAUUUAAUUGUUCUUUUGACUUUGCCAUUUUAAAAAUAUUUUAAGCCGGGCAUGGUGGCUCAUGCCUUUUAUUCCAACACUUUGGAGGUGGAGGCAGUAGGACUGCUUGAGCCCAGGAGUUCGAGACCAGCUUGGGCAACAUAAGGAGACCCCCGUCUUUAAAAAUAAUUUAAAAAAUUAGCCAGGCAUGCUGCCACACACCUGUAGUCCCAGCUGGGAGCCUGAGGCAGGAGGAUCACCUGAGCCUAGGAGGUGGAGGUUGCAGUGAGAUGUGAUUGUGCCACUGCAGUCUAGUCUGGGUCACAGAGACCCCAUCUUAAAGUAAAUAAAUAAAAUUAUUUUGUCAUAUAUACAUUGUUUCUAAUCUCAAAAUCAUUUUAUAGGCUGUUACAGCUCAUAGGGCCUGUGGCACAGUGCUAGAGAUAUCACUAAUAAAAUGUAUUUGAC
rnacentral:lncRNA from 1 species